rnacentral:tRNA from 1 species
GGAGGUAUGGCUCAAAUAGUAGGGCACCUGUCUAGCAACCAUGAGGCCCUAAGUUCAAUCUCUAGUAUUGCCA